CCCGCUAAAGCAGAGAUUGACCAGGUGAAUGAGCUGCUAGAGUUGAUCGCCGCACACAAAGAGACGGGGGUAACCGGGGCAUCCGUGAUGUUGUCAUUCUUCAAACGCCGAAUUCAACCCAUCCAACAGCGCCAUACAUUAGGAUUCGAGUACAUGGGUACUGAAGACCCAUCUCGUAUGUGCGCAGAGGAACUUGGAGAUGACGCCGCACUUGUUCACGUCAAGCGAAUUCUGCUGGAUGUGGAAACCAUCCCUUAUGUUCCAGCGGGUUUUACAGCCCAAAAUUGACCGGAUCAAACGGCGUUGUACUGGAGUUACCCGCCGCAACCCGAUCUGCCUCGACCCUAUCACACGUUGCCCAGCGCCGCGGCCGAAGCAAAGAGAGCAAGAACCGCUGACAACGAGUCGGCCGAGGGCAGCCGGGCAACCGGGGAAAGGGCGCAAGCAAACAACUCCUCCGGAUCAUCCGUGGAGUUAUCCGACGACGCGCCUCUAAUCCCCCGGCGGCGCCGGGAGAGUCGGAAACGCAAAGCCAGCACCGCCGACCUCGCCGGUCCUUCGUCUUCUUUGCCCAGCCCCCAGCGACAAAGGGUAGUCAAAACACCCCCAACCGGGAAUGAUGCACCAAAAGCCAGAUCCACAGAGGCUGAUGGGGCGGAUCCAUCACCUUCUCCUGCAGAUGACGUGA